CAUAACUUCCUGACUAAGAACUUGAGCCAUUUGCUUUGAUUUCCCAUGAUGCUCUCUUUCUUUGAUGACACAGUGGUUUAUCAGCUCCAAGGGCCAGGCAGUGAAGUGGCUGCCUUUUUUGCUCUCAGCAGAACACUUUCUGGGACAUUUAUCUGGAGCUAAGGAGCAACAUCUGUGGAGAUGGAAUGAAAAAAAAAAAAAAGAAGAAUCUUUGGAUGGUUGGAUCAUGAUCACGCCACUACUAAGCAGACUUUUACUUUCUAUUCUGGUUCUACUGGUAAAGGAAUGUCAGAGAUUCUCUGCCUCUGGGGAAGAACAAAGUGAUUAUGCAAAAGAUUUUCCUGCCUGGGGCUCCUGGGUCCCAGGUUCAAUCCUCAGCACCAACCAUAAGCCUGAGCUGAACAGUGCUCUGAAACCAUCUCAUUAGAGUCUGACGACAUUCCUGAAAGAUAUCUGAACUCUACUUAACAAAGAGACCAAGGCUCAGAAAAGUUAAAUAACUUCUCCAAGAUGAACAAGCUAAUAAAAGGUAGAGAGUGAUGAAACUCCAGAAGAUGAUGGUGACAACAACAACAACAACAACAAAGAAUUGGCAGAGCAAUGUCCAUGUCUAGCAGAGAAGCCAGAACUCCCACAUUCUGAAUCCCAAAAGAAUAUGGUCCAUACUCCCAGAGGGGGAGAAAUGUGAGGGGAAGAUGAACAGAGGGCUCUGAAUUACAAUUCCAUCAUGACCCAGAGAAGAAGAGGAAAAAAGGAAAUACCAGCAAUACUACUCUUGCACAUUUGUCCAAAGGACACUCAAACACUAAGUCAAAGCUGCUUCAUUCAUAGCUGCUUCAUUUAAGAAAGUCAGAGAGUGGAAGCAGCCUAAAUGCCUAUCAACAGAUGACUAAAGAAGUUGUGAACUCUUUACUCUGCAAUAAAAGAAGACUAUAUUGUGUCCUUUGAGACAAAAUGGAUGGAACUGGAGGUGAUUAUGCUUGGUGAAAUAAGUAAAGAGAUGAAAGACAACUACCAGAUGGUUUCACUCAUAUGUGAAAUCUAAAGAACUGAUACACAUGAACUUGAAAAACAAAAUCCAGAAGCAAGCAAACUGUUUAUUUGGUUAUCUUUGGAAGGUGAGAGGAUGGGGAUACAGAACUCUGGUGGUAGAUGUGGUGUGGAACUAUAUACUGUA